UACGAAGGGGGCGAGCGUUGUUCGGAAUUACUGGGCGUAAAGGGCGCGUAGGCGGCGAACCAAGUCAGAUGUGAAAGUCCUGGGCUUAACCUGGGGACUGCAUUUGAUACUGGUUUGCUUGAAUUCGGGAGAGGAUAGCGGAAUUCCCAGUGUAGAGGUGAAAUUCGUAGAUAUUGGGAAGAACACCGGUGGCGAAGGCGGCUAUCUGGACCGACAUUGACGCUGAGGCGCGAAAGCUAGGGGAGCAAACGGG
rnacentral:rRNA from 1 species